CGACGACUUCAGCAGCUGGAUCUCAGCUCCACUGGUGCAGGAAACAGAGGGGUUACUCUGUUGGCAAAUUACUGCAGUAAACACCUCCAAACUGUCAAACUCAGCUUCUGCCACAUUACCUCAGAGAACAUCCUGAAACUCUGCAGACGCAGCAAGAGGCUGAAGUUGCUUCAUGUCUAUGGCUGUGCACAUCUCCCCAGUGAGAGAGAGAUCGGAAAAGUUAACGCGAUAGUUAAAGUUUAUCCUCUGUCGUGACUCACACACGAACAUCUGCACAAAACGGGACGGACACACAUACCGAAAAGCAAGAUUUAACCGAGAAAUGGAAAAUAAUCAAACAGUAUGAAUACAA